rnacentral:rRNA from 1 species
GCUGCGGUGCGCCUAACACAUGCAAGUCGAGCGGUAUUGGUAUUUUAGAAGUUUUCGGAUGGAUAAAAUAUUGAGAGAGCGGCGAACGGGUGAGUAACACGUUGGUACAUGCCCCCAAGUCAGGGAUAGCCAGAAGAAAUUCUGAUUAAUACCGGAUAGUCUCUUUGGAGUAAAAAUUUAUUGCUUGGGGAGUGGCCUGCGUUCUAUCAGCUAGUUGGUGAGGUGAUAGCUCACCAAGGCUAUGACGGAUACCUGGUCUGAGAGGAUGAUCAGGCACAAUGGAACUGAGACACGGUCCAUACUCCUACGGGAGGCAGCAGUGAGGAAUCUUCCACAAUGGACGAAAGUCUGAUGGAGCGACACCGCGUGAAGGAUGAAGGCCUAACGGUUGUAAACUUCUUUUCUGAAGGAGCAUAAUGAGAGUACUUCAGGAAUAAGGGACGGCUAAAUACGUGCCAGCAGCCGCGGUAAUACGUAUGUCCCAAGCGUUACCCGGAAUCACUGGGUGUAAAGGGUUCGUAGGUGGAAAUCUAAGUCAGGUAUGAAAGACCGGAGCUCAACUCCGAGUUUGUGCUUGAAACUGGAUUUCUAGAAUCAGGGAGAGGUAAGCGGAAUUCUAAGAGUAGGGGUGCAAUCCGUAGAUACUUAGAGGAACACCAAAAGCGAAGGCAGCUUACUGGAACUGUAUUGACGCUCAUGGAACGAAAGCGUGGGUAGCGAAAAGGAUUAGAUACCCUUGUAGUCCACGCCCUAAACGAUGAUAACUAAGUGUUGCGCCCUAGCUCGCAGUGCUGUA